GGCUUUAUGUCUUCAUCAGUCAAUCCAAACAAGUUAGAGGAUCUUGGUGUUUGGUUUUGGGGUGAGCGUGUGUAGAAGGGUGUGGAUUGCCAAAAAAAAAAAAAAAAAAGAAAAAAAAGAAAAGAAAAACAGAAAAAAGAAAAAAAGAAAGAAAAGGAAAAAGAAAAAGAAAAGGGAAAAGGAAAAAGGGACCCCUUCCCCCCAGGUUUCCUGCCACAAGUGGGUACUAAAACUCCAUCCUUAAUUGGGGGGAGGUUCCAACUUUGAAUGUGGGAAUAAAGGCCAAACCUCCCGACCCCCUGAACUCCACACACGAAAAGGAUCAGGUAACACGCCACCCUUGGAAUCUUGUAAGAGGGUUGACUCAUCUACCCCUUCCAUUCCCACAUCCUUUUCUAAACACCUACCACCUCCUCAAAAACACAACUGAAAAGAAUUCCAACCACCCCAAAAAGGUGGGGGGAAAUUUUCAGGGAAACCAGCUUCCCCCCCCCUCGGAUUCUCGGGCCUUCCUACAUCUCCCCCUACUCCUAGUCGGGCUGACCUGAUUGGAGGGGGGCACUAAACUUUCCAGAACAGAGAAGAGCCAGGGAAGGAGGCGGGAGGGAUAGGGUGAGCAGAGGAGGCGACAGGGCAGGACGGAGAGGAGAAAGAGAACCGGGGCAAAGUGAAGUCGCUGCCGGCCGCUUUCUCCUCAGCCGCCGCCUCCUCAGCCGCCGGUGCCGCCGCGGCCGGACUCACCUCCCCUAGCAAAGCCGGAUAGAGCGGAGCCAGCGGCGGACACGCGCAACCAGCCACCGAGGCCCCGCCCCCGCCUCACACUGACCGGCUGCCCUAGCCAAUCCACGCCCACCUGUCUGCGUCUGCCUCCAAUCCUGAGCCCGGAGCUUCAGACAGGCGCACUGCUCGGCCAGUGGCAACAAGGUGAGCAGGAAGCUGCGUGCUAAUCCCGCCCGCAAAAGCUGGAAGAGAGGGUGGAAUAAAAGAACCAAUCAUGAACCGGGGACCAAGAACAGAGGCAACCAAUCCUUGGCUUGAAGACGAAGUGGGAUGGGACUGGGGCCAGAUAGACACUUGACUUGACAAAUGGAAAAAAGAUUGAUCUCGGUCCCACCCUCCAGGUCUCCUAUAGGUCAAGAUUGUGGAGAAUUCGCUGUCGUAUCAGCGACGACCUCUUCGGGGGUGGGGCCAAGUGAAAGGGGUGUGGUCUAAAGAGAGGUAGGCGGGACUUCGAGGAAGAAGGCGGAGUCCCAAUGUCGCUGGUCCAUUGAUAAGAGCCAUGUCCUAUCCGUUUCUAAGUCAUCAAGUGUGGAGAAGAAAUAGAGAAAGCAAAAAGGGAUGUCAAACUUCAGAAACUCAGUUCCAAGGUUACCCAACAAGACAAUCACAGAAGAAACUCAGUAGACUCCUAGUUCCCAGCCUAUGGCUGGUCCUCCAUGGCUAAUCCUCAUCUUGGCAAAAAGAGGUGCGGUCUCCAGCAUUCACCACUACACUCUCAAGGGGCGAGAAGGCUCUCGAUGCAAAUUAAAGCAACAAAGAUGAUAAACUUAACCACGGAGAUCGUAAUUUUCUCUUGCAUGUUUCGUUACUGAAAUCUCACUGAAAUAGCAUCUUUCACUAUCACAUAACCUCACUUACUUGAACUUUAUUUUAAAAUACCAAAUGAUAAGCUCACGUAAUGUUAUCCUUAGGAAAACUUCACUCAGAACUCUGGAGAUCAUCUUUGAUGUCUGUCUGCCCACUCCUUCCCUUCUAAUCAAUCGUCAAGUCUUGGACAUUUUAAACCACUUCUAAACACCCUCCUUCCUCCCUAGUUACCACAAUAUUACCCUAAUUUAUGUCACUACCAUCUUUAGCACAUCUCCCUGCCUGAAGGCUAACACACCUCUAUUCCAUCCUCCACUGGGAGUAUAGCAACCUUUUAAAAACACAAGUCUGAUCGUGUGGACUUUUGAAAAAAGUCAAUAAUAGAUCCGCUUGAUCUGUUUCUCAUAUUGCUCAAUGACCUUAUCUAUCACCUCCACCCUCUAUACUUCAUACAUUCUGAACUUUCAGUUCCACAAAUGGUUUGUGGCUUCCAGGCCUUCAUGCUUAUCUUUGGCACCAAACACUCCCUAUCCACUCCUCUAAUUUAUCGUUCAGAUGAAUUUUACCUUUCACGUAAAUUUUAUCUUUUUUUUUCUGGAAAAUUUUUCCUAAUUCUGUUGUAGAGUAUGUAUCUCUGUUAUGUAUUUCCAUUGCACUGCCUCUCUCAUAGCGCUGAGAACUCUAUAUUUUAAUUGUUUACUGAGUUUGACCAGGAUCUAAAACGUAUCUGCCACAUGGGACGCCUAACUGGCUCAGCAGUAGAGUGUCUGCCUUUGGCUCAGGGCAUGAUCCCCUCCGGGGAUCGAGUCCCCCAUCCGGCUUCCUGCAUGGAGCCUGCUUCUCCCUCUGCCUGUGUCUGUACCUCUCUCUCUGUCUCUUAUGAAUAAAUAAACAGAAAAUAAGUAAAUUAAUUAAUUAAUUAAUUAAAAAAACUUAUCUGUCGCACUCUAUGUUGUAUUCCCAGUUCCUGGGGCAGUGUCUAAAAGGUGGAGAUACUUAAUAAGGAGCUGCAUGAGUUAUUGAGUGCAGGAGAGGUAGAUACCAAUCCAAGCUCUGCCGUUUAUUAGUUCUGGGACUUAAGCCCUUUAAAUAUAACCUUCCUCAGUCUCAGUUGCCUCCACUUAAAAUGGAGAUAAUAAAGUGUGCCUCAUCAAGUUGAGUUGAGGAUUAAAUGAGGUAAUGUAUUCAAAAGUUCUUGAAGUAGUAAAAGUUCAAAAUAUGUUAAUUUUAUUUCCUAACCUCCAUCUUCACAUGAUAUCUAAGAUGUGCUUCCAGUUUCCCCAUGCAUAUCAGUGUCCUCCAAAGUAUAGUUUCUUAGAAGCUUAUUAGAAAUGCAAAGUCUCAGGUUUUACCCCAGAUCUACUGAAUCAGAGUCUCAUGGGCAGGAAUCUGUUUAAUAAGCCCUCCAGGGGAUUUUUACACACACUAAAAUUUGAAAAGCAUUGGCCUAGAAUAAAAGGGCUGAGUCUUAAACUUUGUUUACUUUUCAGCACCUAGAAAGUACUCAAUACAUGUGAAAUAAGGAAAUAGAUUCAAUCUACCAGAAAUGAUUGUGUGAUAGGAACUGUUUAUUCCUGCCACAAACAUUUAUUGAGCACCAACUAUAUCUAGGCAUGAUGCUAGGUUCAACAAUAGGGGAGGUAAGAUACCUGACCUAACAGAGUCUCUACCAUUAAGGAGCUCUAAGUCUGAUUCAGGGGUUCCCAAAAUGAUAUGAGUACACCCUUAAUGGCCAAAGGGAGCCAUUAGGCACCAGGAGGAAAUUAGUACAACUUCUAUUUCUGCCUAUUUUUUAUUUCAUCAUUUUUUUCCUAAGACUUUAUUUAUUUA